rnacentral:lncRNA from 1 species
AGCUUUCUAAAAUCUCUUUAGGGGUGUGCGUAGGCUCCUGUGUCUAUGCCUGCUUUUGACUGCCCAGUUGAAGCCUCUUCCUAUGCCUUUUAAAAUUUCACGCACUAUAAGGAGGAAGAGCUCAGGGCUCCCAAAACUUUUUAUUUAGAGGGAAGAAUGCUAGGGAGAUGGGUAUGCAGAGGGUUGACCAAAUUGGAAGAAAAUAUUUAUUCUGUAGUUUGGUGUUGGAAAAGGGAAUUUUCCAAUCAGCCACACCUCAGUGUUGCGGCAAAAUAAUUCUUGGCUCCCCUGGAAACGCAUGGGCAAGGUAGGGCAGAGCUGCUGCUGCUGAUACUGCCACCACCCUGGGCUUCCUGCUGACUCUGGGCUACUCCCUGGGGACAACAGAUUUGCAUUGACGUCCGGGGCUGUCCAGAGGCCCUCAAGAGCCAGUUGUGAGCUGAGCCCAGUAUGGGAAAGAUCUACCUUCUGGAAGCUACUACUACGUGGUGCUUGGAAAGAGGACUCAGGAGAGUGCAGCUUGCUCUGUGAGUGGGUGACAACCUCUUGGCGACUCAGGCUCAGCUGAGGAUGGUGCCAGUGUGCCGGAGACAGCCGUCAUACUGCCGGAUAGAGUGGCUCACUUGCAUGUAUUUGGAACAAAAAAAGGAGAUGCCUGGCAGCCCCGCUCUCUGCAGUGCUGUUGAGCCACCAAUUUUUGUGGUUUUGUGACCACAAGUGCUGACUGAUGCGACAUGACCCCAGUCUUGUCAGUGAAUCAUCACCAGGCUGCUUACUGGAAACUGGAUGCAGCAAGGAAAUAGGAUUUAACCGCUCUCUGCCUCCCAGGAGCCCUGAAAUCAGCAUUCCCAGAGGAAAGAAGAUGGCCAUCUGGGCUUGGCUUCCGGCUCCCCCCAUCUGGCUGGAACACACAUCAGUCACGUUUCCUGCCCAAGCCCUCCGAGCAUUUGAAUGUGCUGUGAGCAGCCUACCUCAGCCUCCUCUCUUUACACAUGAAGACACUGAGGCCCAUUCAGGGCAAGUGGCAGGUCCCUGUUCUCAGAGUUGGGGCCAAGCAGGUAUUAAAACCAUUGUGUUCUGAUUCACUGUGUGCCCAAGCAGAUUAAUGCCCUGGUGUGAGGUCGAGAAGCCUCCAGGUAGAAUGUGGGGACAGAAGUGGACCAGGCUAGAGUAUAGCUCCCACACCUUUCCCAUGCGUGGCAGCACUCGUAAGACUGACAUGCCCACCCUUCUGGAUGGGUGGUUUUCCUCCCCAGACAGCCCUGCCAACCCUUUCACCUUCAGCCAGUUUGUUUGGAGUCAUUAGGCUGAGGUGGGUAAAACCCAUCACCCUCCUUGGAUGGCAGAGCUCUCAGCAGGCUGGGAUUUUCAUGGGCUGCCUUCUUACAGGUCUAGGUGGCCUUCAGGCAUGGUGCCAGGGAAAGCAAGCCCCUUCCAGCCCUUACCAAACUAACUGGCUGCUUCCUAGUAGGGAACAGCCACCAGCUUGUUUCAGCGAAGAGUCAUUGCUCAGCUGAUUCUGAGAGGAGAAAACUGGUUCUGUUGGGAGGGCUGAGACCUGAAGGACCCCUUUUAUCCAGUGGAAUUGGAAAGGCAAAGGAUUUCAAUACUAACAUGAUUUUUUUCUCCACUUCUUUUAGAGUGUUUAAUUAAAGUGAUGCAUUGUUAAUGGCUUCUUAUCUCUUCUUCCAGAGAGUAAAGAGUUAAAUUUUAGAAUCCAGGAGUGGGGACCCAGACUGUGGCUUCUGUUAACUCCCUCAGUGGCAGUGGCGUCCUGCUAUGCACAGCCCCUCUGCUGUACUCCGAAUGGUCCCUUACGGGUAGCAGGAGAGACAUUAAAUAAUCACACUGAUGACCAAGUGAGAUAAGUGGUUUUUGAAGGAAAGAACUUGAGGCUGGCGAGGACCACUUAACCUUCUAGCAAGGGCUGGACUCAGGGAGGCUUUCCUGAGCUGCGGGGAGGAUGACAGGUUCCCUGGAGUGGUGGUGGGUGGGGGCGGGGCUGAGGGGUGGUAGCCAAGGGAGGGUGAAGGAGAGUAUUCCAGAAGAGACAACAGCUUAGGCAGGCAGGACCUCGCCAUGGAGGAAGGUGCUUUCUGAUCACUGCGGGACACCUGUGUGAUAGCUCAUAGGGAGGGGGUACUGGUAACUAAAAGUUGAUAAGGAAGAGUGGCUAAAAUGAAAAGCAGAAAAGUGAGAAUCUCAUCAAAUCCCCUCAUUUGACAGGAUUUGGACUCCCAGUAGUAACUGUCCUUAAACACUCACUCCUGACCUUACAACCCUGGCUGUUACCUGGUUAACAAGCCCCAGGUGUUGGCUACAGGUGUCAUCACUGAGAGCCCUUGUGUGCAGAUCUGCCCCAGCUCUCCCACCUGUGACUGAGGCUAGCAAGUCCCCCGUGGGCUGUAGAGCCUAGCGCUGGUGUCAGAAUCGCUUGUUGCAGGUUCAUCUUCAGUGUCUUUCCCACAGCCACAUGCUGGGGAAAGACGGCAAAGGCGCUAGAGGAGCAGGAGAACAAAGCAAGCUGCCCCAGACCACCCGGCUUUCGCAGAACCCAGAUGAUGCUCCUGUCUCCCCCUAAGUAUAACGUGUUAUGUAGUCAGUAUGAUCCCAUUCAGUGCAGAAGUAUCGCCUAGGAAUUUCCUGCCCCACCCACCCUGUUUUGUUCUUAAUGAAGUUCAAGAACAAAAUGAGAUGAUAGUCAAGUUAUGGAGCAGGCUGCAGUGGAUACAAGGGCAGAAACACAGUCUUUGGAGUUAGACCUGGGAUCUGCAUUGAUUGGUUGUGUGACUGCAGACAAGUUAUUUAGCCUCAUUAAGGAUGAAUUUCUUCGCAAAAAUUGGAAUAAUACCUGCCCCAUACGACUGUUGUGAGAAUUAAACACCGCAACUUUUGAUGUUCAAAUUCUAUUUCUUCUCCUUCUAGCAACACAUACUGUUAGUGCCAGGAACCAUAAAAAUUAUAAGGCUGUAUCUAGAGGCCUGAAAGGAAGCUAAAAUAUACAGUGUCUACUCUGUCUCUUUUCUCUUGGUUAUGGUAUCAGAGGAAAUACACAUAUUUUCUUAGCUUCAAACCACCAAAAAAGAUGAUGCAGUAAGGAGAUGGGAAAUCUAAUUUGGAAUACAGUGUGCAAAUCUUAUUUUCAAGCAGACUUUGAAAAUAAAACUCAAUUCUUACGUUAGAGGAUUAUCUGCUUAAUACAAUUAUAGGGUACCAGUUUUUGAAGUCACAUCGGGGUUAAAUAAGAUUGCAGGUUCAUGGGGUCAUAUUUGAAUGUUCUGAUACUUACAUAUGGGGUGGGAAGGAGGAAUGCAUGCUUUUCUCAAGUUAAGACACAUAAAAGAGUUGUCCUGGCCCAGGUGAGACUCGCCUUUGUGUAGCAGCUGGAGCUUCAUUCCACAGGCAGAUAGGGUGCUUGUGUCCUGAUGAAGUAAGAGAAUAUAUCUGGAAACACUUUGUGUACUGUGAAAUACUAUACAAAUGCAGGGCAGUACAAAUGUAAAUAUUAAUGUAUUUUAGUAAUAAUUUUAGCUUUUAUUUCAUCAUAUAUAAUAAUUUGUAGUGACUGGUGUGAAGUUAAAUAGAAUUAACCUAGAAUUAAUGAGUUUUGUAUUGCUCUCAUCUAUUUGAAGCAUCAGCUGUGCCUUUCAUGUUGCCUUGUGCAGCCCUGUGUAACCUCCUCUGUGCCUUUCCCAUGGAGCACUGUGUCAUAUCACAAGUAGAACUACAAGAAGAUAUUUCUCCUCAGGGCAGAGGCUGGGUCUUCCGAUUGAAUCUCCCUUCUUUCUUCAUUGAGAUCCUCUUCUUCUGGAAGCUGGUUUCACAUGGUGGCUUAGAUUUUUCCAUCUUUGUAUCUAGCACCAUUUGAAAUCAGUGUUUUAGGAGUAAGAAUUGCAGCACAGCCAAGGGUGGACUGCAGAGGAACUGCUGCUCAUGGAACUGGCUCCUCUCCUCUUGCCACUUGAGUCUGUUCGAGAAGUCCAGGGAAGAACUUGAAGAGCAAAAUACACUCUUGAGUUUGUUGGGUUUUGGGAGAGGUGACAGUAGAGAAGGGGGUUGUGUUUAAAAUAAACACAGUGGCUUGAGCAGGGGCAGAGGUUGUGAUGCUAUUUCUGUUGACUCCUAGCAGCCAUCACCAGCAUGAAUGUGUUCGUAGGGCCUUUGAGUGUGGCGAUUGUCAUAUUCUGUUGGAUAACAAUGUAUUGGGUGUCGAUUGUCAUGGGGCAGGGGAGAGGGCAGUACACCUGGAGGACCAUUUUGUCCACAUCGACACCAUCAGUCUGCUCUUAGAGGAUGCCCUGGAGUAUUCGGCGUUGAUUGCGGGGCACCCGAAAUCAGACUUGCCACCUGGACUGUCGAGGUGCAGACCCUGGGAGCACCACUGGCCCAUCUCUUACACAGGCUGACCGAUUUCUCCUGGUGUUCAGAGUCUGUUUUUGUCUAGCACCAUUUGAAAUCGGUUAUGAUGUAGGGGGAAAAGCAGCAGCCUCGAAGCCUCAUGCCAACUCUGGGCAGCAGCAGCCUGUGGUUUCCUGGAAGAUGGAUGGGCAGAGAAUAGGGAAGGAAGAUCAUGCUUUUCCCUACUAACUUCUGUAACUGCAUGUAUGAUACAUUAUUGCAGAGGUAAGAGAUAGUUUAAUGGAUUUUUAAAAACAAAUUACUAUAAUUUAUCUGAUGUUCUCUAGUUGCAUUUUGCUGAAAUGUAGUGCUGUUCUAAAUUCUGUAAAUUGAUUGCUGUUGAAUUAUCUUUCUGUUGAGAAGAGUCUAUUCAUGCAUCCUGACCUUAAUAAAUACUAUGUUCAGUUUAUCAUGUCUGUGUUUUUCAUCUAUUAUUUCCCAUUCAUAAUUCUGUGAUGAUAAGAAGUGGGUCCUGAAAAAUUAAUUGGCUGUGCAGAUCUUGCCUACUUCAUAAAGAAUUUGAAGUAGGUUACAGCCAGCCAGACAUUAAAAAUGAAGCCCAUUAAGAGAAGAAUGAAAUUCUAUGAGCCAAGAAAUAAAAUGAGAGAAAAGAUUAGGGAAGAGAAGAAAUGUUGAAGAUCAAGGCUGAGGGAUGCUCCCUACUGAAUGGGAAAACUCCUUAGUUCCACAUGGGCUGUAGACACAGCCCUUCUGCCAGCAACUGUUCCUGCAAGGAACUGGUGCUCAACUAAACAUACUGUCACAUGGUUCCUUGAAGGGGCACAGCACUGAUUUCACUUGCAUUAUAAAAGAUUGAGUGGUGCUUUUGACUAUUAGUUUAUGUCAACACUUCAAAACAAGAUGAGCCAGUUUUUUUUUGUUUUUUUUUUUUGUUUGUUUGUUUGUUUUAGACGGAGUCUCACCCUGUCACCCAGGCUGGAGUGCAAUGGCACUGUCCCCGCUCACUGCAACCUCCGCCUCCCGGGUUCAAGCAAUUCUGCCUCAGCCUUCCGAGUAGCUGGGAUUACAGGCGUGGCACCUCCACGCCCAGCUAAUUUCUGUAUUUUGUAGUAGAGACGGGGUUUCAUCAUGUUGGCCAGGCUUGUCUCGAACUGCUGACCCCGUGAUCCACCCACCUCAGCCUCCCAAAGUGCUGGGAUUACAGGCGUGAACCACCUCGCCUGGCCCAGUGAGCCAGUUUUGUAAAGCUAUUCAGAGAUUAGCCAGAUUUGAUUUGAUAGGGGAUCAAGCUUGUAGGAUCUUCAGGAAGGCGGGCUGUGGCCCCUUGAUCAGGCUUUUUGCACAGGAGGUGCAUGACUAUGAACUACCCUCAGUAGAACUCUUUUAAGCCAGUGGCUUGCAAUAAAUGAUGGCAAAUCAGCCACCUAGGAAGCCAUUUCUAAGCCCAACCCCCUGCCACAGUCUUCCUCUAGAUGGCUGCCCUGCCCAGUGGGCUGAGAGUGGGGGGCGGAAGUAGCAUUUGCUGGGAAGACUUGCCAGUACAUAUGUUGCACCCCCUCACUGCAGCUGCAGUGCUAUUUCAGGCUGUUGAUGGAAGAACCCAUGUUCUAAUCCCCAGGAUGUGGUGGGAAGACCCUAAGUGGUGGUGUUAGUUAAGACCCUAAGUUAUAUUGUUUUGUUCACUUCCCACUGAGAUAGGCUACAAUAGUAUUAAAUACCUAUAGGUCAGACAUUUUUGGGGUCUGUUGUACUACCUACCAAUUAAACAGUUUUUGAUCCGCCCACCACGCUCAAAGCUCCAGCCUAGGUGUUGCAAAUACAGACGACAGAUUUUUGCUCUCAGGAGGCCCUGAUUCCAGUCCUCAAACGAGUAAGUGUGAAAUUGAGUGCAGCAUUAAAGCACAAAAACAAUGAUUUGAGACGUCUUUUCUAUAAAAGAAGUUUAUAGCACUCUCAUUGAAUGCUUAAAUAGUGCCACACUGCUAAGUCGUGAGAAGCAAAAUGUAACUGCGGUGCCUCAAACAGGAUUAUUUUGUUUUAUUCAUUUGGAUGCGGACAGCUCUUUAUCUAAAAUUGCCAUUCUGAGGUGGUUUUGCACAAUAAAUUGGUAAUUAUGUAGACUGUUUCUUCCAGAGACAGCAUCUUGAAUCGGGUUUAUGAAGCCAUGCUAUCAACCUAGGUAGAAAAUGCUUUGUAGGACAUGGGUCCUGCUUAUCUAAAUUUUACCAGAUUUUAUUAGCUGUAAAUUUAUAAGCGGGUCUUGGUGAAUAGAUAAUGAAAAAAAUAUUGAGUGGGGAGGCUUAUUAGACUGACAGCACCUUCAAGACUCAUGCAAGUUGGACUGGAAAAUCCCACCUGUGGAAGUAAAACACUGAUGAGUCCUUAAUAAAUAUGGAUGAGACAAGUCAAAUAUUUGGCCAAUUUAGGUGAAACAGAAAUAAGUCUAGAACUGGACAAUUAUUUGUGUAACAUACUGGCCCAGACCUUCACUUUGAGAAGCUGGUGUGUAGUUUCAGGAGAGUACCUGGCAGACUAGUGUGUCCAUACUUCGAUGGAGCUUGAGAGUUUUCCUUGAACACAAAAGUUGUAUUUUUGAGUUUAUUCUAGUAUGAUGGUGCCCUACCCUAUCUUCCUAUUCAGUUCACCCAAAGAGCCUUUAAAUUAGUGUUCCCUUGGUCCCAUCCCUACAGUCUCUGGUUUUGCUGGUCUGGGAAUGGGUCUGGACAUCACUGUUGUUUUAAAGUUGAGAGCCUCUCUUCUGUGGUCUUGUUCCUAAAACGCUUUACUACUCACUGUGGUCUGAGGGCCCCCAGCACUGGUGUGUUAGUUUCCUGUGGCUGCCCUAAAAAAUUACCACAAACAUGGUGUCUUAAAACAACACACAUUUGUACAGUUACAGAUUCCAGAAGCCUGCAAUCAGCUCACUGGACUGCAAGGGCCACCCGCCCUCUCAGAAGCGCCGGGAGAGAACAGGUUUUCUUGCCUUCUUCAGCUGCUAGAGCUGCGUUCUUUGGCUUGCACCCCCUUCCUCUGUCUUCCAAGCCAGCGGGGCAGUCUUUUGCUUCAGUGGCCAUGUUGUCUUCUGGCACAGUCACAUCUCCCCCUGCCUCCCUCUUAGAAGGACCCUUGUGGUUACAUUUAGGGCCCCCACCUGGAUAAUCCAGGAUAAUCUCCCUAUUUCAAUUUUCUUAAUCUCAUCUGUAAAGACCCUUUUGCCAUAUAAAGUAACAUUCACAGGUUCCAGGUAUUAGGACUUGGAUAUCUUUAGAGGCCAUCAUACAGCCCACCACAAACAGCUCCUUAGGCACUCAUUAGAAAUGCAGAACCUCAGGCCCCAACCGAUACCUUUUGAAUCUUCUGAUUCUAAUUUAAGAAGAUCACCAUGUAACUCACUAGCACACUAAGACUUGAGAAGCACGAUGCUAUGGGAACCUAACCAAAGAAUUCUCAAGUCCCAACUUAAAUACAAAUUUACAGAGUAUUUUUCCUAGGAACGCUUUCAGGUGGAGGAGAUUAAUCAGACGAUAGAUAAUUUUCCUGAACACCAUUCUGAAGUGCUUCUCUAAGCAUUUGUUCCUGAAUUCUCUCUCAAUGAAGCCACAAGCCCCAAACACCAGGAUUACUGUUUACAGGGGUUCCUGUUUACAGUAGUUUAGCACAGGGUUUGCCACACUGCAGCAUAUUAUUAUAGUUUAGUUUUGUAAAAAGCUACAUGAGAGAGGUAAAUCUUAUAAAUGGAGGUGGAGUCUCCUAACACCAGUUUUACCACCUCUGUACAGGUUUCCCUGGGCUAUGUACUAUCGAAUCAGGAAUCAGGAAGGGCGGCUUUUUCAAAUGUUAUCUAUACUUUUGGCAAUUUGUUCAAACGUUCUGCUGGUAUGUGAGAGGGAAGGAAAAAUUGUUUAUUGACCACAGAUCCACAAUAUUAUACUUCUCCUAUACUUAAGCAAUAAGGGACAGCAUUUAAAACUCUUUUAAAAAUGUUAAUCUUGGCUGGGCACAGUGGCUCAUGCCUGGAUCCCCAGUAAUUUGGAACACUGAGGCAGGCAGAUUGCUUGAGGCCAGGAGUUCGAGACUAGCUUGGGCAACAUGCGAGAGCCCGUCUCUACAAAAAAAAAAAAAAAAUACAAAAAUUAUCCAGGCAUGGUGGUGCACACCUGUAGUCCCAGCUGUUGGGGAAAGCUAAGUUGGGAGGAUCCCUUGAACCCAGGAGGUUGAGGCUGCAGUAAGCUGUGAUUGAGCCACUGAGCUCCAGCCUGGGUGACAGAGCGAGAUCCUGUGUCAAAAAAUAAUUUUGAUUUCACGGAAGGAGAAGAGGACUAGUCUUAUACCAUAUCCCAAAUGAAAUUGAAAAUGUCUUCUGGGAAUCACAGCAAUGACUCAAACUUCUGAAUAGUGACUAGGUUUGAGCUGGUAAGGAAGGGAUUGUCAAAUGCCGUGACAGUCCACAGGAGGGCAGCAGUGCUCCGAUUUACAAAGGAUUAGUCAUACUAGUGUAACCUUUUCUGAGUGAGCCUAGAAAUUCUGAUGAAAACAGUGUAGUCCAGGAAAAAAAAAAAAAAAAUCUGUAUGUACAAUCACUCAAUUUUGAAUCAUUUCUGGAAGUUAUUAGACUCCAUGUUAAAUCCUACUUAAGUACAAGUAUGCAAAAUUUAAAAAUAUGCAGAAAAGCUCAUUCUUGGUUAAAAUGUUAGCUGAAAGACAUUACUAAGUUUUAGAAUACCAUAGAGUUGACUAUUUCCCACAAACCCUAAAAUCUACUUGAACACCACAAAUUCAUAUUCCUUCUAAUCCCAAGUCCCUUCAGCAUUCUUACAGAUUUAUUGUUAGUUACCUUACAAAGUAACUAACUGUCCCCAUGUAUUUUAUCCCAAUUUAAAAAAUACAUUACAGUCUCAAGGUCACAUAAGAUUUUCCAAAAUGCUCUAUUCAUAGUCAAUAUAAUUUUCAGGCCGGGUGCGGUGGCUCAUGCCUGUAAUCCCAGCACUUUGGGAGGCCAAGGUGGGCGGAUCACCUGAGGUUGGGAGUUCGAGACCAGCCUGACCAACAUGGAGAAACCCCGUCUCUACUAAAAAUACAAAAUUAGCCAGACGCGGUGGUGCAUGCCUGUAAUCCCAGCUACUCAGGAGGCUGAGUCAGGAGAAUCGCUUGAACCCAGAAGGUGGAAGCUGUGGUGAGCCGAGAUAGUGCCAUUGCACUCCAGCCUGGGCAACAAGAUCGAAACUCCAUCUCAAAAUAUGUGUGUGUGUGUGUGUGUGUGUGUGUGUGUGUGUGUAUAUAUAUAUAUAUAUAUAUACACACACACACAUAUAUAUAUAAUUUUCACCUAGUGUUUUAUUAAACAGAAUGCUUCUGUAUUUUUAUGUUUAUUUGAGACAAUGCUUCUGUAUUUCUAAACAACAGCUAGCCUUGUUCAGUUAGCCAAACAACAAAACCUUAAUUCAAGUCUUCAAUGAAAUUUUCUGAUUUAAUAGGCUGAAUUAAGAAAGCCAUAAUUUUCUUCUAUAAAUAUAAGCCUUUAACUUCUAUCUUUACAAGUUUAUAUAGAAAAAUUUACUGUGGGGCUUGAGAUUUACUAAUGCAUGGGUUUUCAACCUUAGCUGCACUUUGGAAUCAUUUAGGACGCUUGGAAAUCCCUACACCCAAACCACAUCCCAGAUCAAUUACACUAGAAAUCUCUAGGGGUGGGACCCAGGUGUCUGUAAAUAUCCCCCGGUGAUUGCAAUGUGCAGCCAUGGUUGAGAAACACUGAAGCCUGCUCUGAGAAAUUUAGCAAUCCGACUUAAUUCAAAUCUGCAGAGAGAGCAACAAUGAUUUUUGCAGAAACAACCAAAUCCUACUAGUUACAUAAAUUUUAUACUUUGUUAGGACUUGGGUUUUUAUUUAGCUCUACAUAUGCGAUCAUAGGAUGCAGAAGAUAUAUCUUCUACUGGACACGUAUAUAUAGAUGCUUAAAUGUGGCUAUCCCAAGGUUAGGUAAUAAUAAAGACUAUAAGAGCUGGGCAGAAAUCAGGCACAGUUUCAUGAAGGGUAAUAUCUGAGCUGGGCCUUGGAAGAUGCAUAGGAUCUCAACAGGACAGUAGGUGUUUCAAGCAACAAUGAACUAGGAAUACAGCAGAAAGCACAGGGGAAAUGGUCAGGCUUGACUGAGAGUAGGUUAUUUGAAGAAGUGCAAUAGAAAAUGCUUGGGGAAGAAAGUUGGGAUUUAAUUGUAAAAGGUCUUCAAGUAUCAGGCUAAGAAAUGUGGACUUCAUCCAGUAGGUAAUGUGAUGUCACUGGAUAUCUGUGCAGUAUCUAUGUGAUGGGUUGGGAGUGGAGAAGCCUGGGGAUACUUAAGGGUCUGAGCUAGGAGGGACAGGAGGAAUGGCUGUGGGAGUGGAAUGGUUAGAAGAUGGGCCCAAUUAGAAACAUACUUCAAUUUGAGACAAAACCCACUAGAAAUAAACACAUCAUCAUGAAACAUCUCCAAAUGUACAAU